rnacentral:rRNA from 1 species
AUUGAACGCUGGCGGCAUGCCUUACACAUGCAAGUCGAACGGCAGCACGGGUGCUUGCACCUGGUGGCGAGUGGCGAACGGGUGAGUAAUACAUCGGAACGUACCUUAUCGUGGGGGAUAACGCAGCGAAAGCUGUGCUAAUACCGCAUACGCCCUGAGGGGGAAAGCGGGGGAUCGAAAGACCUCGCGCGAUUAGAGCGGCCGAUGCCUGAUUAGCUUGUUGGUGGGGUAAAAGCCCACCAAGGCGACGAUCAGUAGCUGGUCUGAGAGGAAGAUCAGCCACACUGGGGCUGAGACACGGCCCAGACUCCUACGGGAGGCAGCAGUGGGGAAUUUUGGACAAGGGGGGCAACCCUGAUCCAGCAAUGCCGCGGGAGUGAAGAAGGCCUUCGGGUUGUAAAGCUCUUUUGUCAGGGAAGAAACACCGGCUCUAACACAGUCCGGGAAUGACGGUACCUGAAGAGUAAGCACCGGCUAACUACGUGCCAGCAGCCGCCGUAA